CCCGCUGAACUUAAGCAUAUCAUUAAGCGGAGGACAAGAAACUAACAAGGAUGCCCUUAGUAACGGCGAGUGAAGCGGGCAAAGCUCAAGUUGAAAAUCGGGGCUCCCUUCGCCGUUUCGAAUUGUCAGAUAGAGACGCAGCGUCCGCAAUAGCCCCUGGUAUAAUUCUUUUGCUCACAUGGCAUCAUAGACCAGUGGCAAUCCCGUCUCUGACUAGGAGCGCUAUGCGUACCACCUGUGUUCGUAGAGUCGGCUUGCUUGAGAUUGCAGCUCAAAAUUGGUGGUAAAUUUCAUCUAGCAGCUAAAUAUCGACGAGAGACCGAUAGCAAACAAGUACCGUGAGGGAAAGAUGAAAAGAACUAUGAAAAGAGAGUUAAAAAGUACUUGAAAUUGUUAAGAGGGAAGCACAGGAAACCAGUCGUGCUAUGUGCCAUAUUUAUCGUUUGCUGGACAAGAGAUGUGAUUCGCAGAUCGCAAGACUGCGGGGUGUAUCUGGAGGUUGGUUGGCGAGUUCUGUGGUAUGGACAGAGUCAGAAUGAGUUCGCUGUGCGGGAGAAAGCUAGCAUGGACGGUAGGAGUGAGAUGGCAACUCCAAGGCCUGAAGCCCGUUAGUGCUACAGUGUGCCGGACAGAGGACUAGAACACGCACCACUCGGUAUUCGGCUCCUGGUUCCUGGCUAGUACGUCCGCAUAGGACAACAAAGUUGUGCGGGUGAGCAUGCUGGUCACCGCGCUGGGUCAACUAGAUGCGGAGUUGGCGAUUCUGACGAAACUGGUUUUCAUUGACCCGUCGUGAAACACGG
rnacentral:rRNA from 1 species